AAUGACCACCUUGAAUCCGUCAUGUGAAGUCCCUGUGCCCCUCCCAGGCUCUUUCCUGGCACAGACAUCCUAUGGGAAGGCCUUGGAGUGGAGGUUCCUCUGUGCAAACUUUCUUGGGUGUUCUAGCCUGUCAGCACUGCCCUUCCCUGGGUUUGUCACCUUGAAAAGAUUUACUCACUUAGUUGAGCCUCAGGUUUUCAAAAGUUAAAAUUUAUAUAAUCAGUAGAGCUUGAAAAACAGUAUAAAAUAUUUCCAAAGAGGCAAGAAAUAGGUAAAUUUCAGAAAAAAAGAAAAUAUACUAGUAUUACAUUGAAUGUGUUAAAAAUUCUUCUUUCCGUUUCUGCCUCCCCUGAGCGUGUGUAGUCCUGUUCUGUUCUGUUCUUUGGGGUGGGGUGUUUUCAAAUGGAAUUCCCAGGCUUACAGUUGAACAGCAAAAGUGUUAAGUGUGACUAAUUGUUUAUAAAACAGUGUCUUUCCAUGGAAAUAAUAAUUAAUAUUAUUUUCUGAAAGUAAUAAAUACAUGUGGCUUUUCUUGUUGAACUAGAAAAAUGCUUUACAACUUUCUUCCCUCCUUUCACGUAAACCGUGGGUUUGUGAGAAUUUGCUGUAUUCUUCAAACACUGGGUUGUGCCAUUUACAAGAUCACUGUGGUCCAAAGCAACAUGAUUGGGAGCAGAGGCCUGGGGUCAGGGUCUCUAAACUAAGACCCCCUUGAGUCUGCACAGGGAAGUACUUGAGGGCCCAUACGUUCUUCCUGGGUGUCCUCCCUGUUCAUACCCACCACAGAAGGAGCCUUUCUGCUGAGAGAAGCUACAGAGCCCUGGAAAGCUGGGAAGGCACCUGCACAGGGGGUGGGGGUUGCUGCCCUUCCUGAGGUUGUUCUGUGCUCCCCUUGGGCCUGUGUCUACACGUAGGGUGGAGUUUUGCACCCACACUGUAGGUGCCUGCAGAGUGUAAUUUGUGCACAUUGGGAAAGUCUGUGAAAGUCAGGAGUUCUAUCUGGACUAGGGUGUAUGAAUUCGGGGUUCAUUUGGGUCACAACGUUAAACUGCAUCCUGCUGAGAGUCUCCUCACUUGUGAGAGUGGAGGCUGAGAGAGGGAUCCCUUCUCUUACUCCCCAGGCAGAGGAGGGUGUGUGAGCUCCCAGAGUCCAUUCCUGUGGCUGCUCAGGUGUCUCUACCCUCCUGCGCCAGGGACUGACCCACUCCGGGGCUUCCGUCUCCACAAGGAGAAACUGGAAUGUGUUUAACUUUCUGAAUGUGGCUUUCUUUCUGUCCUGUGGGAAGCAGGCUACAUAUCUGUGCUGAUUCCAAUAUUUGUGCUUCUUUCCUUUGGAUUCCUGUAUCGAUUGAACAGUGCAGCCCUGUGCUGCACUGUUUCCCUGGUUUCCCUUAGCACUUUGUAAUUUUAUUCCCUGUAUGAGAAAUAACAUUUUGAGUUUCUUGGGCUUAAAAAUGUGAAUUGAUGGAGAGAACAGGGGGAGGGCGUGAACCACUAGUGGCUAAUGUAGGUAUUGAAGAAGAAAUGCUCAUGCGUCUAACCAAGAAGUAUUAAAUCAGAAAUCCUAUAAUGAUGCCCUUGCCUUUGGAUACAAGAAUCUCCAUAUAACGUAAGUCAGAUUCUUCUAGGAUUUGGCAUCAGGGAAGGAAUUAAAUAAUACCUCUACCAGGUCUUAUGAAAGUGUAAAACUGUAAAACCCUAUGACUUUCAAUUUGUUAUCUGUAAAAUGAGGAUAUUAGUAUCUUAUGAUCCUCAAUAGCUGAAGCCUUCUCACUGUGACCCUAGGAAGAGAGACUGUUCGCCUGUUUGUCUUAGGUCGUUCUUCAGGCAAGCGUGGUUUGAGCAGGCAGAUCCCCUGCCAUGUGAAUGUUUAGGAUGUCAUGACUGGUGUAUGUACAAGUGGUGGAAAAGACUGGAAUUUCAUGGCUUUUUUUUUGUUUCCUCAGCUUUGUCUGCUUAGUUAUCAGACUGUCCCUUGUGGAGAAGUCUAAGGAAGAAGGGGCAGUUGAGCUCUUGAGAAUGCAACCACAGGAAUCAGUGACCUUCAAGCGUGCGGUUGUGUACUUCCCCCAGGAAGAGUGGGCCUUGGUGGACACAUCCCAGAGGAAGCUGUACAGAGAUGUGAUGCUGGAGAACACUGGUCAUCUCGUCUCUGUGUGGUGGCAAUUCUGCAAAUCAGAUGUAAUUUCCCACUGCAGCAAGAAGAGGAGUUGUGGAGGGAAGAAAGAGGAUUCCUACAAGGCCUGAGGCUGGGUUGGGAGACUGGGGAAGACCUGAGAGGCACAAUGAGUUUUCCAGGACAGAAAACUGGUACGGAGGUCUGAAUUCAGCUCUGUCUCAUCAAAGAGGCUCUAGGCUAAGGAAAGCGCAGAAUCAGAGACUUUUCUGUUGCUGUAGACAUUGGCUCAGCCCUCAUCCCUGAUGCCGCUGGCCGUUUGGCAGGAGGCACCCAAAGUUUCCCCAGCGGCAAUGUCCAGUCAGUCUCCUGAUUCCUCCUGGCCUGGUUCCAGGACAUUCUUUGGAGAACUCCACUCAAGACAUCAUCAAGGAACUGGCAGAUGGGCUCAACUACUACAACUCCCUAGACAAGGGGCAGGUGCACCAGGCCACCAACACCAUCCAGUACUGAUCUGAGGUACCAGGCCUUCAUCACUACCCAAGUCCUGGACCAGCUGUCCCACAGGUCCUGUCCACAAUACAUUCCCUGGGAUUCCCUCAUAGUCUUUCUACAUCUGAAUGCAUCUUUCCAUAUUCCGACCAGGA